UCCAGGACCAGAAUCAGAGUGAACAGGAACUCUCCUGCAGUCCUCCUGAACCUCCAUUGGUGACGUCUGUGGGGUGAUGUAACUGAGUGUUUCUCUUCUGGUUGUCACUGAGGAGGUGGUGGCCAUUCGCCUUAAGAACCUUCACCUUCCAAAAACCCCUGAGGACCUGGAGGUGGAGUCCCGUGGGUUUGCAGGGCUGGCACAGCACAGAGUUUUUCCUUAAAGCUGCAGGUGCUAUCGAUGGAUGCCACAUCAGGAUCAAACCUCCUGGUGACCCUGGCAUCAUUCCAAAAGCGCCCUCCAUUAUAGAGCGUGCUUUGGAAUGAUGAAGACGAGAUUCAGAGGCAUCUUCCUGCAAGUGCUGGAGGUUGUCUCAGCUUGGGCCAUCCUCCACAAUAUCUGCUCCUGUGCUGAGGACACCGAGGCCCCAGAGGAUGAUGUGGAGGUGAUGAUGAGGAGGAAGCUUGUUUGGAAGCCAGCAGUGGUGCUCUCUGGCAGGACCAACUACCUGCUGAGGUUUCUGCCCAUGUGGGAGGUACCACCUGACCUUGAUUACUUUAAACAGGUAAUUAAUGAAUCAAGUGAUUUUUACUGCGAUGGACCGGCGACCUGUCCAGGGUGUACCCCGCCUUCGCCCAUCAGUAGCUGGGAUAGGCUCCGGCGCCCCGCGACCCCGAAAGGGAAGAAGCGGUUAAGAAGAUGGAUGGAUGGAAGUGAUUUUUAAUUAUUCAAUAAUUCAAUCAUUUAAUUAAUUGAGUUUUUGUUAAAAAUGUUUUAGGAUAGUGCAUGCAUUAUCUUAUAUUUAUGGGUCAUUUUUGGUCAUGCAGCAUCCGUCCACAGCCAACCCUGUAAACCCUGAAGAUGGACGAUGCAGUCUACAGUGAAGAUGCAUCCUGAAACUAUGCAGACCAUCCUGCAAGAUGUUCCAAUCACCACCCAGAAAGUUCCAUCCUCUGCAGCUACACUUCUGCAGCUUGGAGCCUGAAGAUGCUAAAGUCUGGUUUGAGGAAAAGCGCGAGUGCAGGGACAGAAACUUAAAUGGAUCUCGUCGUGUUUUUAAACCGAAAAAGGUCCAGCAGCUUACUUGUUAGAAUGGUUAUUCAUUUAAAAACCGCUGAACAGGUUUCUCACGUGCACCUGAGACUGUCAAUAGAAAAAAGAAGAUACAAACCCUUUUAUAACAUGCAUAUUUAAUAUGUAUCAAACAUGUUAUAUUCUUAAAUAGACAGGGGCAAUAAAUGACAAAAUAGCAAUGUGGGGGGGGGUUGUUUGUUUUGAUUUUGGUACUUUUAAAGGGUAAUCCAAUAGUGCAGUUGGUUGCGUAAUCCAUUUUUUUUCUCACAACUUUAUUGAAAACAUUAAUUUCAAUACAACGUUUACGAUAACGUUUGCAAAAGGAACAUAAAGUGUCAAUAUCAGGAUUAAAUCUUUUUAAAUACAUUUUUGUGGGGUAGAAUCUGUGAAAAAUUUUAUAAGAAACUUCUUUAAUUUUAUUAGAAAUAAGGUACUGAUUAGGUAAAAGCCAGACCUUUUUCAAGGACACAUCAUCCACAAAUUGUUUCCAAUAAUGAACAACACGUGGCAACGUAACAAUAUCUUUUUGAAAAAGAGCUCUAAUGCCUCUAUUAUUUUUCCUGGAACAAACAGUAAAACAGAUUUUUCCAACAGUGGACAGCGAAAGAGAAAGAUUGAAAGGGAAAGGAUCAAGUCUUGGUCUUUGAUUAAAUAACAUACAUAUUCCAGGAGAGAUCGCACCAAAAACUUUUGCAUAUUCUCCUGGAGUAACUGGGAUGUUAUACUUGUCAAGAAAAUCAGUAUAAGAUAAUAACUGCCCAUUUCAUAGGUAUUCAUUAGGGUACUUUUUUAAUGUAGUGUACUUUGUUCUUUCAUACAAAGUUGAAUAUUAAUUGAUCAAUCUUUUUACAAAUUUUGUUAUUGAGUUCUAAAGCGAGAGCAGCGUAGGUUAACCGGGAUAUUCCUUCUGCUUUACUGAUCAGAAUGCGACCUCUUAGUGAAAGAUCCCUUACAAGCCAUUGAUUAAAUUUCUUUUUUGUUUUUCUAUUAAGGGGUCAAAGUUCAAGGAACAUCUUUCCUGUUGAUUUUUAGUGAUUGUCAAACCUAAAUAAACAAGUUCAGUUUUAACUGGGAUGUCUUCUAUUUUGUCCUCAGAACUGUUCUUUACUGCCAUAAGUUCAUAUUUUUUUAAAUUUAAAUAAAGACCAGAUGCUUUGGACAAUAUUUCCAUUACAUUGAUUGCUAAAGAAAUUUCUGAUUGAUUCUUCAAAAAGAGAGUUGUGUCAUCUGCCAAUUGUGUUAGAAUUAUGUUACUAACAGCAACUGAUAGACCUUUCAGGGAGCUCGAUUUGAUAUGAUCUGCAAGAAGUUGACCUACCAAGAGGAAUAAAUAAGGAGAGAUAGGGCAUCCCCUGCGACAGACUGGCGACCUGUCCAGGGUGAACCCCGCCUUCGCCCUUCAGUAGCCGGGAUAGGCUCCGGCACCCCCGCGACCCCGAAAGGGACGAAGCGGUCAAGAAGAUGGAUGGAUGGAUAGAUUGGGCAUCCUUGACGGAUGCCUCUAUAAAUGUUAAAUUUAUGUGAAGUACCCCCCUUUAACUUGAUGGUUACGUA